rnacentral:misc_RNA from 1 species
UACAUGAGAGUUGCCCUGCCACUUUUUCAACUAGCCCUAAUAGAUUGACAAUCUGUGACGGGACCUAACCUAAUCAAAAAAGGAUACAAUGGCUUUGCUGUACCAAAACAGCCCCCUAAAGUGGCUGAACAGAUAUAAAACUGGCUUAAAAGGGUUUCGCCGGUACUCCAAGCGACGAAGCGUAAUCCUAGGGAUAGAAUCGUCUUGCGACGAUACUGGCUGCGGAAUUAUCGACACUGAAGGGAACAUUUUGGGUGAAUCCUUGCAUUCUCAGCUAUUGGUGCACUUAAACAAUGGCGGAAUCAUCCCCCCAGUGGCAGGCGUUUUGCACAGAAAGAACAUCGAGCAAGUAGUAGAAUCUGCCCUAAAAUCGGCCAAUUUAUCAAUGAAGGAUAUUGACGCUGUCGCGGCCACAGUCAAGCCAGGCCUCCCAAUGUCUUUGGAAGUGGGGACAAUGUUCGGCAAGUUGUUGUGCAGGAAACAUCAGAAACCUUUCAUCCCCAUCCACCACAUGGAGGCCCAUGCGUUGACUGCCAGGCUGCAGAAUCCUUCUCUAGAAUUCCCCUUUUUGGUCCUGCUAAUCAGUGGCGGUCACUGUCUUUUGGCUGUAGCGCACAGUGUGGAUAAAUUCGCGCUGUUGGGAGAAAGCAUUGAUGAUGCCCCUGGGGAGGCUUUCGACAAGAUGGCCAGAAGAAUGAAGCUGAGGAAUCUGCCAGAAUAUUACGAGCUGUCUGGAGGCCAAGCCAUUGAACUAGCAGCCUCUAAGGCAGACGACCCCUUGCAAUUCCCCUUCACUCCUCCUUUGUUGCAGUACAAGGACUGCAAGUUUAGCUUUGCAGGGGCGAAAAAUGUAUGCAAGUACUAUAUAGAAAAGGAGGAACUCUCCAAAGGGGUGGCCCCAGACGAGGUUAUUCCUGACGUGGCCAACCUUAGCGCAGCCUUUCUACUCGUAGUCACUAAACAUCUGUGCCAAAGGCUGCAAAGAGCCAUGGAGUACGUGGCCCGCAAAAGCCUGAUUCCCAUCGAAAGGCAGACGCUGGUGGGGUGGCGUGCAACAACUUCAUCGCCCAGGGCUUGGAAAUCGUUUGCAACGAAUAUAACUAUAAGCUAGUAAGGCCGCCAGCCAAACUCUGCACAGAUAAUGGGAUUAUGGUCGCUUGGAAUGCCGUUGAAAGAUGGAAGGCCAAUAUUGGCGUCUACAAGGACUUUGAGGGCAUAGAAGUGGAAAAAAUCAGCCCGUUGGGCGCCAGUCUAAUUGAGGAUGUGUCUAGAGAAAAUAUCAGUUGCAAAUGGGUGAAGCUUGCCAAACUGUUGGACAAAGACAACCAGAAAGGAAUCAGUCAAAACCAAUGAUACUGUGUUUAUACUAAAACAGGUCCCUUUUCCACAAAGGGCUUCUUCAGGUCACUAUAAACAUCCUCGCUAUCGCUGCUUUCAUUCAAUUCGCUCACUAAGUCUAAUAGAUUUCUUAACCGGGUUUUCACCUUUAGAACAUCGCUCUGGCUCUCUUUGGCUGAGAUUGCCAGAAUGUCGGUGAAGUUUAUCGGUUUGUUAGGCUUCAAGUCUUCCUUGUAGGUUGAUAUGAACCCUAAGAAAGCCCUGCAGUCAAUAUGAAGAAAUACACUAAAAUAGACGAUGUGGCUGA